GGUCGCAGGUUCGAAUCCUGCACGACCCACCAAUAUACAAGGUGGUAACUGGUAGAGAACGUGAAGGAUAACGUUGCUUUAGCAACGGCCCGAAGGGCGAGGCGAAGCCGAGUCAUCCUGCACGACCCACCA
rnacentral:sRNA from 1 species